GGGGGACCUUCGGGCCUCUUGCCAUCGGAUGUGCCCAGAUGGGAUUAGCUAGUAGGUGGGGUAACGGCUCACCUAGGCGACGAUCCCUAGCUGGUCUGAGAGGAUGACCAGCCACACUGGAACUGAGACACGGUCCAGACUCCUACGGGAGGCAGCAGUGGGGAAUAUUGCACAAUGGGCGCAAGCCUGAUGCAGCCAUGCCGCGUGUAUGAAGAAGGCCUUCGGGUUGUAAAGUACUUUCAGCGGGGAGGAAGGGAGUAAAGUUAAUACCUUUGCUCAUUGACGUUACCCGCAGAAGAAGCUCCGGCUAACU
rnacentral:rRNA from 1 species